ACGUUGCUUCCAUUACCUUGUGAUGGAACGCCACAUAGCUGCCUAGAAGCUACAGAGCACUUGCAGCUUCCUAGGCCAGAUCUACAGGACACCCCAUUAGCAACGGGAGAAGUCUGGUUUGUUGAUGGGUCAUGUUCAAAGGACCCUAUUGGUAAAAACCAGACAGGUUAUUCUGUUGUUGCUUUACCAAAUGAAAUAAUAGCAGCAGAAAGAAUUUCCAGCGCUUAUUCUGCACAAGCAGCUGAAUUGAUUGCUUUGACAAGGGCAUGUGAAUUGGCUGAGGAUAAGCACUUGACAGUGUUCACAGAUAGCCAGUAUGUUUUCUCUACACCGUUUUAUUUUGCUAAACAAUGGGAGCGUAGAGGAAUGACAACAUCUACUGGGAAACCAGUAACACAUGCAUCUUUGCUUAAAAUUCUUUGCAAGCAAUACAACUCCCCAUUAAACUAGCGGUAUGUAAAUGUGCAGCUCACACAAAAGGACAAGAUGAAGUUUCAAAUGGGAACAGACUAGCUGAUAAAAUUGCAAAAGAAGCUGCAGCAGGGAAACAUGGGAAAGGAACUUUCUCAGCGCAGACUGAAGAAGAACAACACAUGAUAGACAAAGCAGUGUUAAAAGACAUGCAGGACAACGCACCGCAAGUUGAAAAAAGGAUGUGGAUAACUAAGGGUGCGAAAAUUAAUGAUGAGAAAAUUUUUGAGGUUAAUGAUAAACCAGUCCUUCCUAAAUCUUUAUUUAAAGCAGCAGCAAUAUUGAGCCAUGGUGAAUCUCAUGUCUCAACAGGGGGGAUGGUAGGAAUGCCAUAUGGCUUUAUGGUUUUAAAUUCCUAUUCAAAAAAAUUUUUUGUAGGGCAUGUCUAAUAUGUGCUAGACAUAAGUCUCAGGGAAACAUAAGGCCCAAACGAGGCAGGUUCCCAAAACCAUCUUAUCCAUGUAAAACCAUGCAUAUGGAUUUUUAUUGAACUUUCACAAAGUGGGCCAUAUAAAUAUUGUCUAGUGAUGAUUGAUGCUUUUCCUAAAUGGGUUGAAAUAGUUCUAGCAAAGCAUGCAGAUGCUUUGACAGUAGCUAAGGCUAUUUGUAAAACUAUUAUCCCAACACAUGGCAUCGCGCAAACUGUUUAUAGAACGAAUAGUACUGUGAAAAGCAGAUUAAGAAAAUGCACGGCAGACACUAGCCGGCUCUGGCCAGAAUGGUUAGAUUUGGUGAAACUCUAUAUGAGGAUCACCCCGACAGCUGAUGGUCUAACACCGGUUGAAAUAAUUCAUGGGAGAGCUUACAGAUUGCCUCUGUUUGCUCCAGACUUACAAAAAGCUGAUGAAGAACAGACAUUAGCAGAUUAUAUGAUCAGGACCCUUAAACUGAAGGAGGUGUCCAGUGCAAAUUUACUGCCUUUUUGAUUCUCUUCCUGCACAGGAGGCCGCUCCGAUCGAGCCAGGUGACUGGGUCUACAUAAAAGUCAACAGCUGUAAAGAUUGCUGAAAGACCCAGCUGGAUACAUCUCAGUCACUGUAAGCUGCAGAGAGUGUUAAACCCCUAAAGUUGGAGUAGAGAGGAAGGAGAGCUCUUUUGAGAGCUUCCGGGCUACAAAGGGGAGCUACAUUAUAGUUGUAGUUCGUCUCAAACCCGGUGAAGAAACGCGAAGAUUCUCACUCCUUUAGUUUGGGGGUUCUGACAUCUCUGUACAUCGAGCAGCAAUGGGGACUCCAUAUGACAGAUGGAUUUUCUGCUGCGCUGUGACUGUUGUAUGUUUGAUGUUUGGUGAAGGAAGCGAGCCUGAGUUCCACCCACAUGACUACAGUACCAAUCUUUGGCUGAAAACUGAUGAACAGAACUGCCUAUGAGGGACAUGCUGUGAACUGCUACGUGUGUGCGCAGCUGCCGGUUUCCAUACACAACUCAGGUCUCCGACCAGGUAACAUUGCUGACGACAAACAGAUGUGUCUCUAUGUUCUAAGCACUAGACCGCGGCAUAUCCCACCACCAAGGGGAGACAGACCACGUGAGAAGGACUAUUCAGCUGACCUCCGGAUGGGAGAGGCAGUGCAAGGACUGUUUCAAUGUUUAAAUUGUUCACUGGCAGACGAUGUACUUCCUUUUCGUCAUCUCAACAAACUGGACGUUGCCCUGGCACUUGUGUAACAGAGUUUACACCUACUGCGAACCGACACAGGAUUUCAUCGACUGCACAGCCUGCAGGGGUCAAAGGGCGACUCCACACUGCAAAGUCUGGAAGGAAAACCCAGAUUGUCACAACCUGCUUCAGGAGAGGAGUUUCAACAUCACGCAUAAGACUAAGAGGAGACAGAUGACAACACUGUGUAGCGCCAUAAUGCCAGGAGAUUAUGGCUCUUGGAUAUUAGCAGACUGGAAAGCACAAAAUGAGCUAUCAGCUAUGCCAGAGGUCAAAAGAUGGGAAGGCCUAACAACACAUACUGGAGUUCCAUGGGAAUUCAGGAUUUGGAACGGCGGAGAAAAAUUCAUGCAAGGUCUUUUUCCGUGGGUUGGUCUAGGAGAGAUUUGAUACCAUGUUUGAGAUAAGCAGGUACGGAUUAUUACGACUGAUCAACAUCACAUACCAGCUGGCCAAUGGCACCAUGAAAGAACUGACUGAACUGAGAAACAUGGUUAUGCAAAACCGUGUUGUCCUGGACUUUCUCACUGCCCCUCAGGGAGGGGUCUGCAAAAUCAUUGGCCCAACGUGGUGUAAGAUUUAAAACAGUAUGUGGCAAGUAGAACACGCGGCUCAUCCUCUUUUGAUUUGUUUUCAUGGCUCACUUCUGGACCCUGGUGGUUCUUGCUGUUAAAGCUUGUGACACCUAUUCUGAUUGUGUUAAUUCUGUUCUGUCUUUUUACGGGUUGCAUUAUUCCUUGUCUACGAAAUAUGAUAUUUAAAACAAUUAACACGACUGUUAUUAACUAUCAGCUGACAAAGGCAUCUUAUGAAACAACUGAAGAUGACUUGUUCCAAGUUUCUGACGAUUUUCUGAACAAUCAUGAAUUUCUGUAAUCAAUAAACAGAUGAAUUCAUUUGCUGAAUGACUCCUACACCGAAAAUGUGGGAACAAGUGAUGUUUAGGAUGAGAAAACUGCAUUUGAUUUUUUACUGUUUAUUCUUUUGUUUUUUCAUGUAUUUCAUUAUAUAACUUUUAUUCAUUAUGUAUUCUCUGUGUUUAGAUUAGUUUUUUAUUAUUUUUCUUUUAUUUUCUUUUCUAUAUUUGGCUUCUGCAUAGCAGUUUAUACACAUAGUAAAAUGAUAAAAAGGGGGGAAUGUUAGAUAUUUUUUAAUAUUAUCAUUUUGUUGUUACUUUAGUUUAUAUUCAGUCUAAAGUAUUAUUGUGAUUUUAGUAUAAACUGACCUGGAGGUUACGACUGUCUUCAUGCGAGAUAGUAAAACUUUAUGGUUCUCAGACCCUAAAGUUUUCUCUGGUGUUUAUCUACCCGGUCUUAGGUGACAGUUUGACCCAGAGCUGAACUGGGCUCAGAUUGUAAAUUAGAUAUCACACCUGGAACUGAGUUGUUGGUCUGUUUGUGUUAAAUGUUUUACGACCUCUGUUGUUUGAUGCUUUGACAAUAAAGAGGGAGCUCACGUGAAAGCAGAUCAGAACUCUCUAUUGACCAGCCCGGAGGGGCUGUUGAUCGGGAUUUCUCCUUCUGCAGAAGCCUGACCAUAUUUAAUUCA